UACCUUUAUCGAUAUGCAUAUAUAUACAAUAUGUACCUCUCGCGCUCUCUCUUUGUCUAUCUAUAUAUAUAUGUAUAUAUAGGAAUAAAUUAUAUAUAUGUAUUUUUGUAUGUGUAUUUAUACAUGUGUGUAUGCGUGCGUGCGUGUGGGCAUUCAUGCACACCCACACAUGCGGAUUUGCAUAUAUUAGGUAAGGAUCAUGGGUCAGCCACCCCGGUAUAAAAAGACCCAUGAUUUCAUGAUUUCAACAUGGCGCCUAGUAGCCGUCAAACACCGCAUCUGUGACGGCUCGAAUGUAAACAAUGUGUAUAUAUAUACAUAUAUACCCAUAUAUAUACACAUACGUAUAUAUAUAUAACCUUUGUAUAUACAUAGAAAGAUAUAUAGAAACAUAUAUUUAUAUAUAUAAAGGUGUAUGUAUAUAUAUAUAUAUACACAGAUACAUACAUAUAUAUAUGUGUGUAUGUGCAUAUAUAUAUAUGCACAUAUAGCUAGCGGCGCUAAUCUUCAAUAGAAAGACGUUGCCCCCACCAGCCCGAGCAGCAUCUCAGCAGUCGAUGGUGAUAAAAGCAGUAAGACCUUUCCCUUACUAUAGAACCUCCAGGCUAGUACAGUUAUAACGUGUGGGCUUCUUAUCCGAGGGGUCGGCGGUUCGCGCCCCGCCCAGGUGCGAGAAGUUGCAAUUGUCGCGUGGGGAUUACUGCUGUGGCUGGGCACCACGGCGGGUAAGGACAAAAGCCGAGUCAGCACCAGCUGACACACUGUUAGCGAGUCGACAUUAGUCGGCACAGGCCGGGCUCCCCUCAUAACCCGGGCGAGUCUCAGCUUCGCAUAUCGGACUUGUCCUUAUCCCUUUCUAAGUGUGACAAUUAAAGGUAGAGUACGUAGACCGGCCAAAGGUAUAUUUUGUUUUCAAUGUUGCUUCUGAUGAUGGCGAAAGCCAACUGUUGUAUUACGAAGCUGUGCUAUCACACAGCUGCGUGACCUCCCACAUGCGUCGUAUGGUUGCGUUCCUUCCCUCUCUCUUGGGUUUGGGCCCAGAAUGGCGUCAGGGGAAUUUCCAAACGAGGUUCAAAAUUGUAAAAAAAGUUGAAAGUAAUGAUACAAGUUUUUUUACGGAAUGACAGUCUUUACUGAGGUUGAGGAAUGCAUACGGUCCCCAUGCGGUACCUUUACUUUUUGAGGGUGUUGAUUGGGCAGACAGUAUUGGCAAAGAGUGGUAUUUUCCGUUCAUUAUUCCUGAGGUAAGAGAAUAUGAUCGGGAUUUUUUUUUGUAUGUGUGAAAAUCGUCCAGUGUUUGCGAUGUUUCACGCUUUCUUCUCUGGAAAGGGCCGAACCAGCCCUCCAGCAUUUAAGGGGUUGCAAGUUUGUCGGCAAUGUAAGAUCGACAGUUAUUUCCGUGUAGAUGUACAAUUUUCAGCCAGAUUUCAGAUUUCCAGGUUCUGCGCCUCCAAUGAGCAACGUCUUCAGAUUUUGGCAAGGUUUGAUUCCCGAUCACAGCCAAAAGAAAUCCAUCCUCCCCAUCCAGGUAGGCGAGUGCUUGUAUAUCUCUAUAAGUCGCGACGUUGAUCUUAUUGAAUUGACUUCGAACUGCUAUUGACAUCAAAUGAACUGCAUUCUGAUUUACAUUUUUUCUCAUAGGCUUACCCUACUGACAUCAGAUUUCCGAAGAGAUUCGUUUCAGGUCCUCAUUCGCCAGCACCUCCUAGGCUCUUAGCCACCUUGACUCGCAAAUCUGCGCUGAGUUACACCUGCUGCAUGAAGCCCAACCAACGUGGAGCUUCACCUCAAUGUCUCCUGCAGCCAAGGCGAAAGGACGAAACCGCGGUGAGUGGCGUCAGAAAAUCGCGCUGACACUGUCCUUGAUGAUGACCUAUGCUGACCUUUGACCCGAAUUUUAUGCUCAGCGUCGGCGUUUGCAGAGAGACUGAGACGAUACCCUGGCGGGCCUGGUCGACGACAGGUGCUGAAUGCAGUCGCCGGUACAGGGAGCAGCGCAUGGCCAUCCCGCACAGGACAGUCACACAGCGGGAAGUCCUGUGUGUGGAACGGAAACCAUCACAUGACGUCACAAAUAGAUGUUCCCGAGAUGGUUACCACAUGUGGCCGACUCCACACACUAUUUGCCCGUGCGCUGUCCUUGCCGACUGGCUUUCACUGGCUUUAUUACGAACAUCUGGACAGUUUUUUUCCACUCAUUGGCCAAAGGUUGUUUCGAGGUGACUGGAAUCUGCGCCACAACCAAGGUUCCCGCCACCUCGCGACCGUGGCCGUGGAGUUUUUUUCCUGUCCAGCCGCCAGAUCGGCACUGACAUGAGCCGUUGCCAUGUUUACUUUAAGAUGCAUAUCUCAUGUGUGGUCUUCUGUUAUAUACGCUGCCAUGCCGCCACGUAUCAAUGAUGGAUCAUUUGCCAUCAGGCUUUAAGCAACUGACAAUAAAUGUCGAUUUCACGCCAAGUUUGUUUCCUUGUCACUAGAAACGCAGGUGUAGUGGCCUGAUGUGUAUGUAUAUAUAUGUAUACAUAUAUAUGUAUAUAUAUAAUAAUAUAUAUAGAGAGAGAGAAUAUGUGUAUAUAUGUAUAUAUAUACACAUA